rnacentral:rRNA from 1 species
UACGAAGGGUGCAAGCGUUACUCGGAAUUACUGGGCGUAAAGCGUGCGUAGGUGGUUCGUUAAGUCUGAUGUGAAAGCCCUGGGCUCAACCUGGGAAUUGCGUUUGAUACUGUUGGGCUUGAGACCGGGAGAGGAUAGCGGAAUUCCCAGUGUAGAGGUGAAAUUCGUAGAUAUUGGGAAGAACACCAGUGGCGAAGGCGGCUAUCUGGACCGGUACUGACGCUGAGGUGCGAAAGCGUGGGGAGCAAACAGG